rnacentral:rRNA from 1 species
CACGGGGUUGCGAGCGUUGUCCGGAAUUACUAGGCGUAAAGGGCAGGCAGGCGGAUCCAUAAGUUUAUCGUUUAAGGCGUCGGCUUAACCGGCGUAGGGCGGUAGAUACUGUGGAUCUGGAAUGCGGUUGGGGAAGACAGAAUUCCUGGUGUAGCGGUGGAAUGCGCAGAGAUCAGGAGGAAUACCGAAGGCGAAGGCAGUCUUCCAAGCCGUUAUUGACGCUCAACUGCGAAGGUGUGGGCAUCAAACAGGAUUAGAUACCCCCGUAGUCCCUGA